AUCCAGAGAUAUCAGGAAGAGUAUAAAGCAGAGAAAAAAAGGAAGCAGACUGGACAUGGCCAGGGCUAUCCCUAAGCAGUGGAGAAGCAUACAGAUAGGCUUAUGAUGGACAUUGCUUUCUACAGGGGAUUUUCAGAAGGUGGAUGUGAUAGUGACAACCCUUCUGGGGUUCUUAGUGCUCUCCCCACCUUAGCCUUUGUCAAGAAGAUGACAGAACAGAAUUCUAUUAAGCCUUGCACAUCUGAAGAUUUAAGAAUACUGCAAACAACAUCUUGAGCUCAGAUAGGUUGGUUCACCUCAACUCUAUUCAUGAGAUCAAGAACUUGGAUUUUACAUAUGGUACUGGCCUCAUACAAUAGACUCUAGUACAGUAUGGGUCUUUAGUCUUUAUUAGCUAAGUAAAGGAGGGACAGAGAUCCCAAGAGAAGUUCUUCUGAAGUACCAAUAAACAAAAUCAAGAAGGUG